rnacentral:tRNA from 1 species
GCCCAUUCGUCUAGCGGCCAAGGACACCAGCAACUCAAGUUGGAGACAGGGGUUCGAUUCCUCUAUGGGCUA